rnacentral:rRNA from 1 species
AUACGAAGGGGGCUAGCGUUGUUCGGAAUUACUGGGCGUAAAGCGCGCGUAGGCGAAUUGGUCAGUUAGGGGUGAAAUCCCAGGGCUUAACCCUGGAACUGCCUCUAAUACUGCCAGUCUUGAGUUCGGGAGAGGUGAGUGGAAUUCCUAGUGUAGAGGUGAAAUUCGUAGAUAUUAGGAAGAACACCAGUGGCGAAGGCGGCUCACUGGCCCGAUACUGACGCUGAGGCGCGAAAGCGUGGGGAGCAAACAGGAUUAGAUACCCGAGUAGUCC